GCAAGUCGAAUGGGUUUAGACCCAUGGCAGACGAGGUAGGAACACGUGGGUACAUACCGUAGAGUCGAGGAUAAUCUGAAGAAAUUCAGGAUAAUACUCGAUGGUCCCUUCGGGGUAAAGAUUUAUCGCUCUAUGAAUGGCCCGCGUUCUAUCAGCUUGUUGGUAAGGUAACGGCUUACCAAGGCUACGACGGAUAGGGGAGGUGAGAGCCUGACC
rnacentral:rRNA from 1 species